GUCUGGGUCUAUUUUCUUCACAGAAUUCCUCUUGAAGAAAGUGAGAGCGGGACGAUCAGAGAGGAAGAUGCCCUGAGGAGGGAAGACAAAAAGCUGGACCAGAGUCCAAAUAUAAAGCAAGUUAAAAUAUGACAUGAACUUUGAGCGUUUGAUGGUGUUUGGAAGAAGAGAGCUUAUUCGUCUCUGUGCUCAGACUCUGAGCUGCCCGGGUACAGAAUCACACUUCACUCCGGGGUUCCAGGUUUCAUUUCUUGGACCCUUGGUGACGUGCCUGUCCCCAGCCCCGCCCCACCGCAGCCCCGCGGGCGUGGUUUCCGCACGGACCGCUCUGCCGCCGUCUUCGCCCUGCGUCAGGAGACGUCUGAAACAACGCUCGGCUCCUCUUGCCUGUUUCUUUCCUGCUGUUACUGUAGAGUCACCGUGUCUGUGUUUUAAAGGGGACGUUUGACACCAUCCCGCGCUGCCCGGACCUCCUGCCUGAAGCUCAGGGCUUCCCCGUCGAGCCCCUCCAGGGAAGGGCAGCAGGCCUCAGUCCCGCUGCAGGUGCAGGAGCGUCUGUGAGGCCACCUCAGACCUUCAGAGCUGCCCGUGCAUCAUCUCGACUACCUCCCUCCCCACGAGGCCCGGCCUCGCUCAUCCACACAUACAAGGGGGCGGCUGACACCUGCUCUGCAGGUGGGCCCCAGGGUGCGCCUGCCCGCCUGGCCCGCACGCUGACCACAGCCCUGCGGUGCCAGGGCUUCUGCAUCAGGAAGGCCCGAGGGCAGGUUCAGAACCUGCUCCGGACACGUGACACUCGAGAGCCUGACCAAAUCUACAGACGCUCCACCUGUACAUGGAUCCCAGAGGCGCUGCCGGUGGGUCCACGACUCCCAGGACCCUCACCACUUCCACCCCAGGACCUGGUGGAGGCAAGGCUGAGAGAAUGGCUGAGUGCUGUGCAGAAAUCCAAGAGACAAGUCACCAGGUUUUGGAAAUGACGUGCUCUCCACGCUAACGGCGUGCGGUCUAGGAAGACCUGAUUUAUCCACCACUUCUGUGAAUAGGAACCAUAACUGUUAAAUGCAUUUCUUUCUGAUUUUUGCUCCUGUCAUGAGUAUAAAAGUAAUGAAAGUUAUGUUAAAAUAAGCACUCUCGUAGACGUGACUAUGUAAUUAGACACUUCAGAAUAUGCUCUGGAACCCUACAGUCGAGAAAUUACUCUAAAGCCAGUGAUUCUCUGGCGAAUGCCGUGUAACAAGAAGAGAAAGUGGAUACGUACGGUUUCCUUCAUCUGAAUUUGAUUGAUCUUGAUCCGAAACAGCUUGUGCUUGAAUUCUCCAUUGAAGAUGAACUUGUCUCCGUCUUCGACCUCCCUUCCUUUGGGGCUUUUGACCAGGACGCGCGCUUUCCCGCAGGCCAGGGACUGCAACGUCCUCCGCAGCUCGCCGUCCUCUGAGCGGGAGAAUGCGCGCAGGUCAGGACCCCGAGCAGCCACGACCUCGGGGGCGACCCGCAGAGCCCGCGUCUCCAUCUCCUCUUCCCCAGAAGCCGCCCGCUGCUGAGGAGGCGUGCCUACCUAUCCCAGUGGCCAUCUUUAUGUCCUCAAAGCUGAAUCCGUCCCCUUCGUUGAACAUGAGAAGCACCAGCGUCUGGAACAGCGACACCUGGAACUCCUUCUUUCCCUUAAAGAGAAGGACAGCUCACAUGGGAAGCUGUGUUUGCACACUCCGCAGACCUUUUUAAGAGGCUAAUCUUUGCUCUCAAACUUCGUGUGUGCGGGGAAUGGUAAGAAGUUACUAAUUAAACACCAAAUAAGAAAAAAUUAAGUUACUAGUUAUACAAGAAUAAAAUGACUCAGGAUUGCACUUAAUUCUUCUCUUGAAACACUCUGGACAGAGCACGAGAAGGCACGGUGACGAGGCCUGGAUGGAGGGGAAGCUGGCAGGAGGCGCGGCCGAUCCCGCAUGGAGAGAACAAGGACCACCGGGAACAGGCGCGCACGCCACACCUCGCUCGACUGCAGGUCUGGGGGUCUGUCGGCUCCCUUUCCAAGCACCUGCUCCUUCCGUGCCCGUGUCCCAUGUCAGUGACUCAGUAUUUCAAACCCUCCACCAGAAAAGGAUUAGGACUUGCUGAAGGCUCACAUGACAGUUAGCAUUUUCUUGGCAAUGAAGUAUUUUUAAAUUAAGGUAUAUAAUGGCUUCUCAGACGUAGCACUGUCACACACUCAAAGCCAUGUGACCCGCCUUAUUGCGAUACUCCCUCCACUGCGGCAGCUGACAUGGGCCCCACCUCCUAUCACCCAGCCCCUGCCACGGACACUCGCCACGUGGUCACUGUGGGGAGGGGCACCCCGUGCAAGCGCUUGCUCUGGGCCCAGCCGGGGGUGUGGACAGUAAGGGGACCGUGGGAUUUAACUCUCACGACACCUUAAAGAACCGUAUGUGAGGACUUCCCUGGUGGCGCAGUGGUUAAGAGUCUGCCUGCCAAUGCAGAGGACACAGGUUCGAGCCCUGGUCCGGGAAGAUCCCACAUGCCGCGGAGCAACUAACCCUGUGCGCCACAACUACUGAGCCUGCACUCUAGAGCCCGCAAGCCACAACUACUGAACCAAUGAGCCACAACUAAUGAAGCCCGCGCGCCUAGAGCCCGUGCUCCACAACAAGAAAAGCCACGGCAAUGAGAAGCCCGCGCACCGCAACGAAGAGUAGCCCCCGCUCGCCGCAACUAGAGAAAGCCCGCAUGCAGCAACGAAGACCCAACGCAGCCAAAAAUGAAACAAAUAAAUCAAUUUAUUAAAAAAAAAAAAGAAAAAACAAGAACUAUACGUAGUGUGUGUGGUUUUGUGUAUAUGACCCUGUACAAUA